rfam:Tilletiaria anomala TBC 951 K437scaffold_66, whole genome shotgun sequence.
GAUGCCUUCGCAUAGUGGUUAGUGUGCUUGCUUUAGGUUAUUUCAACGCUGCAGCGGACUAGACGCAAGUCCUUAGGGAUCGUGGGUUCGAACCCCACAGGCAUCA